GGGAGUGUUUAGGUUUCGACAGGGUAAAAUGGUUAUUACUGGCAAGUAAGCGGGAGCUUUAAAAUCCAACUUAAAUUAAUCGGAAACGAUAAUAAUUACGCAUUAGCUGCCUAGUUGCAGCUACAUCCUAAUUGGAGUUGCUGUUACUCUUUUUAACGAUGUCACUCUUAAUAGCUUACUCUUUUAGAUGUCUAUAAUAAAAGAGGAAAACUUUUUAGACUCGCUUUGUGACUUUUGUUUGUUUAAUAUCAUGAAGUUAAAAAUGUUAAAUAGACUAAACUUGUAGAUGGUAGUAAUUUGCUUUUACUUUGGACACGGGUUCGAUUCCCGUCACUUCCACCA
rnacentral:tmRNA from 1 species